CACUGCCUGCCCCAGUGACAUUUGUUUAACGGCCGCGGUAUCCUGACCGUGCAAAGGUAGCAUAAUCAUUUGUUCCUUAAUUAGGGACUUGUAUGAAUGGCCACACGAGGGUUUAACUGUCUCUUACUUCCAAUCAGUGAAAUUGACCUUCCCGUGAAGAGGCGGGAAUAUAAAAAUUAGACGAGAAGACCCUAUGGAGCUUUAAUUUAUCUACUCCAAUAGAAUAACCAACAACCCACAUAGGAAUAACACUUAAUUCUAACUGGAUAGAAAAUUUUGGUUGGGGUGACCUCGGAGCAUAAAACAACCUCCGAGAAUUUCUACCAAGACUAACAAGUCAAAGUACUACACACUUAAUUGAACCAGUCUAACUGAUCAACGGAAUAAGUUACCCUAGGGAUAACAGCGCAAUCCUAUUCUAGAGUCCCUAUCGACAAUAGGGUUUACGACCUCGAUGUUGGAUCAGGACAUCCUAAUGGUGUAGCAGCUAUUAAUGG
rnacentral:rRNA from 1 species